CAAACUGUAUUUUCGCUACACGCCAAGAAAGCUUUGAGAAGAAUCUGACGACCGGCUAUAUUCAGUGCUUGCCGGUGAUUCCACAUGAUAUUGCGUGACAUUAUUAUUAUUCACGUGUCGUUAAUACUAGUAUGGGAGCGCCUGGGUCUCAGUCAACUGAGAAAAACUGAUUUGGGUACGGUCUAUGACCCGUACAUAGCAAACAUUUGUUCUGGAAAAAUGAAACACUUGUUCUGAAAAUAAAGAAAAGGCAAACACCUGCCAUUGUUUUCCAUCAAUCUGAUUAGGGCAAUCAGUUAAUUAACUUUUGUAAAGAAAAACUAUAAAAAGACACCUAAGACCGGCCAGCCUCGCCUUCCCAUAAAAAAACCUGCUUGUUGUUCUAUGGUUUUCGGUUCGGUUUUCCUCAUAAAUUGGGUGUGUCUACGGUAAAUUGUCUAAGCUAUAAGAAAAACACUUAAAUCUUAGUACUCAUACACACAAAACUCAAUUGUGCAUCAUGAGUCUUAAUGUGCAACUCAUCUCGUAAAACAAUUAAAUUGCACCUCAUGAGAGAUCAGAUGCAGCUAAAAAAACACAAUUGCACAUCAUAAGUCUUAAUGUGCAACUCAUCUCGUAAAACAGUUAAAUUACACAACAUGAGAGAUCAUGCGCGUCUAAAAAAAUCAAUUGCACAUCACGAGUCUUAAUGUGCCACUCAUCUUCUAAAACAACUAAAUUGUACAUCAUGAGAUAUCAUGCACAACUAAAUUAAAAAACUCAGUUUCACAUCACGAGUAUUAAUGUGCAACUCAUUCCUUACAACAACUAAAUUGCACAACGUGAGAGAUCAUGUGCAACUAAAUUAAAAAAACUCAGUUGCACAUCAUGAGUCUUGAUGUGCAACUCAUACCCUAAAACAACUAAAUUGUACAUCAUGAGAUAUCAUGCGCAACUAAAUUAAAAAAAACUCAGUUGCACAUCAGGAGUCUUAAUGUGCAACUCACCCCUUACAACAACUAAAUUGUACAACGUGAGAGAUCAUGUGCAACUAAAUUAAAAAAAACUCAGUUGAACAUCACGAGUCUUAAUGUGCAACUCAUACCCUAAAACAACUAAAUUGCACAGCAUCAGAGAUCAUGCGCAACUAAAAUAUCAAUAGCACAUCACGAGUCUUAAUGUGCAACUCAUCUCCCAAAACAACUAAAUUAUACAUCACGAAAGAUCAUGCGCUACUAAAUUAAAAAAACUCAGUUGCACAUCAGGAGUCUUAAUGUGCAACUCAUCCCUAAAACAACUACAUUGCACAUCAGAAUAGAUGAUGUGCAGCUUACAAAAAAAAAACUGUUGCACAUCAAGUGACUUAAUGUGCAACUCACCCUAAAUAGCUAAUGAAGCCAAACACCAUCCGUAUCGGUGCGGAACUGAUCUAACCUUGCCACCUCUGCACGUCCGGCUCUCUAGCAUAAAUGAACAUAUCGCCUCUCUUUGGUGCCCCAAGGGUGUUUGUGAUUGAUUCUGGGAAUUUCUAAAAAAGACCAAAAAUAACCCAUUACCAGACAUAAUAUUAAUGGAUCUUUUAAUUGGGAAAACUAAACAAGGUAGUAGGACAUCAUUUAUACAAGACAAAAAAAUCAGAUGCUAACUACCUAUUCAAAAAAUGCAUGGGAACAUGACAAACAAGAAACAACGGUAUUAACUCCAAAAUAAAAGUUUGUCUACAGUGCACAGUGGACUAGAGCAAAUAUGCAAGGCGUUCACAAAAAAAAAAAAGAUAAAACUUGGCCACUGUAAUCAUACAUUCAAGCCAUCCUUUUUUAUAUGCUACAGAAAUUUGAUCACUGCCACAUCGAACAAAAAAAUUGGUCAUUGAAUCAUGCGGCGGUACUUAUUUGGACACUACAGAAAUUUGCUCACUGCUAUUUACAUCGAACAAAACAAUUGGUCACUACAUCAUGCAUUCAUACAAAACAUCGGCAGUGAUAUGAGCAAAGAUCCAGCGGGGGAGUGAAGGUUGAGGCGGCGGAGAGCUCAGCACAAGAAGAGUCGGCGUCGGGAGGACGAACCGGUCGGUCAGAGCAUUGGAUAGGGCAAGCCGGCCGUCGAUCUUCACGGAGGCGGCGCACUGACAUGUUCCGAAGUUGCUAGGUGUGCAUGCGGUUGAGAAGAAUACGCUUCGAUCGAACAGAUCUCUUGAGAAGGAUAAGUUUCGCUCCAAUCACACUUUGGGCCGGUCCCAAAAAAGCCCAAAGCACACAAACGUGAAGGACAAUGCGGCCCAAACAACAGCCCACACCUAAACAAACACAGAAAAAAGAAAAAACGCACCAAUCUUCACGCGAACAAACAAAUGGACGGUCCAUAUGCGUCGACUGAGAAAUAAGUAUUUCUCAGGCGGCUGAUCAACAGCAAAUUCGUAAUAGUAUAUUAGUCACUG
rnacentral:lncRNA from 1 species